UCCCAUGAUCUGGGGGAGUUCCUUCAACAC
rnacentral:piRNA from 1 species